GACGAACGCUGGCGGCGUGCUUAACACAUGCAAGUCGAGCGGUAAGGCCCUUUCGGGGGUACACGAGCGGCGAACGGGUGAGUAACACGUGGGUGACCUGCCCUCAGCUCUGGGAUAAGCCUGGGAAACCGGGUCUAAUACUGGAUAUGACUCCAUGACGCAUGUUGUGGGGUGGAAAGCCUUGUGCGGCUGAGGAUGGGCCCGCGGCCUAUCAGCUUGUUGGUGGGGUGAGGCCUACCAAGGCGACGACGGGUAGCCGGCCUGAGAGGGCGACCGGCCACACUGGGACUGAGACACGGCCCAGACUCCUACGGGAGGCAGCAGUGGGGAAUCUUGCGCAAUGGGCGAAAGCCUGACGCAGCGACGCCGCGUGAGGGAUGACGGCCUCGGU
rnacentral:rRNA from 1 species